GGAAGUAAAAGUGUAACAAGGUCUCCGUUGGUGAACCAGCGGAGGGAUCAUUACCGAGUUAUCAACUCCCAAACCCCUGUGGACAUACCUGAACGUUGCCUCGGCGGGACCGCCCCGGCGCUCAUCUCGCGGCCCGGAACCAGGCGCCCGCCGGAGGACCCAAACUCUUGCUUUGAACAGUGGCAUACUCUCUGAGUCUCACAAACAAAAAAUGAAUCAAAACUUACAACAACGGAUCUCUUGGCUCUG
rnacentral:misc_RNA from 1 species